UACGUAGGGGGCGAGCGUUGUCCGGAAUCACUGGGCGUAAAGGGCGCGCGGGCGGCCUCGCAAGUUCGCUGUGAAAGACCGAGGCUCAACCUCGGGGCGUCAGCGGAGACUGCGGGGCUGGGGUGUCGGAGAGGAGCGGGGAAUCCCUGGUGUAGCGGUGGAAUGCGUAGAGAUCAGGGGGAACGCCGGCGGCGAAGGCGCCGCUCUGGCCGAAUACCGACGCUGAGGCGCGAAAGCUGGGGGAGCGAACGGG
rnacentral:rRNA from 1 species